rnacentral:rRNA from 1 species
UGCCGCGUGCAGGAUGACGGUCCUAUGGAUUGUAAACUGCUUUUGCACAGGAAGAAACAACGCUUCGUGUAGCGUCUUGACGGUACUGUGAGAAUAAGGAUCGGCUAACUCCGUGCCAGCAGCCGCGGUAAUACGGAGGAUCCAAGCGUUAUCCGGAAUCAUUGGGUUUAAAGGGUCCGUAGGCGGUUUAGUAAGUCAGUGGUGAAAGCCCAUCGCUCAACGGUGGAACGGCCAUUGAUACUGCUAGACUUGAAUUAUUAGGAAGUAACUAGAAUAUGUAGUGUAGCGGUGAAAUGCUUAGAGAUUACAUGGAAUACCAAUUGCGAAGGCAGGUUACUACUAAUGGAUUGACGCUGAUGGACGAAAGCGUGGGUAGCGAACAGGAUUAGAUACCCUGGUAGUCCACGCCGUAAACGAUGGAUACUAGCUGUUGGGAGCGAUCUCAGUGGCUAAGCGAAAGUGAUAAGUAUCCCACCUGGGGAGUACGUUCGCAAGAAUGAAACUCAUAGGAAUUGACGGGGGCCCGCACAAGCGGUGGAGCAUGUGGUUUAAUUCGAUGAUACGCGAGGAACCUUACCAAGGCUUAAAUGUAGAUUGACCGGUUUGGAAACAGACUUUUC